UGGGGAAUAUUGCACAAUGGGCGCAAGCCUGAUGCAGCCAUGCCGCGUGUGUGAAGAAGGCCUUCGGGUUGUAAAGCACUUUCAGCGGGGAGGAAGGCGAUAAGGUUAAUAACCUUGUCGAUUGACGUUACCCGCAGAAGAAGCACCGGCUAACUCCGUGCCAGCAGCCGCGGUAAUACGGAGGGUGCAAGCGUUAAUCGGAAUUACUGGGCGUAAAGCGCACGCAGGCGGUCUGUCAAGUCGGAUGUGAAAUCCCCGGGCUUAACCUGGGAACUGCAUUCGAAACUGGCAGGCUAGAGUCUUGUAGAGGGGGGUAGAAUUCCAGGUGUAGCGGUGAAAUGCGUAGAGAUCUGGAGGAAUACCGGUGGCGAAGGCGGCCCCCUGGACGAAGACUGACGCUGAGGCUCGAAAGCGUGGGGAGCAAACAGG
rnacentral:rRNA from 1 species